AUUGCAGGCUGCAACUCGCCUGCAUGAAGUUGGAAUUGCUAGUAAUCGCGAAUCAGAAUGUCGCGGUGAAUACGUUCCCGGGCCUUGUACACACCGCCCGUCACACCAUGAGAGUCGAUAACACCCGAAGCCUGUGAGCUAACCGCAAGGGGGCAGCAGUCGAAGGUGGGGUUGAUGAUUGGGGUGAAGUCGUAACAAGGUACC
rnacentral:rRNA from 1 species